UACCACCUCCACGUUUUUAUGAGUACAAACUAUUCGAACAGUUGCACUUGCUAAUGGUUUCCGAACGAGUGGCACAAUCUGUGAAUAUUUACGCACGUUCCAAUCGGAAGUGGAUUGAUUAACUUGCAGCUCAAAUCAUGUUAUUGUUUUAAACGAAGUCCAGUCAAGGCUUUUGGAUUCCAUUAUUGUAUCAAAACGAUUCUUCGAAAAGAUAAUCGAACAAUAAAGGCCUACCGUUUGGAAGCAGACGCUUAAAUCAUGUUCAAUAAGUGGUCUUUUUUAUUCUGGGACAUCGUCUAACUUAGCUAAUGUAAUGGAUUCAUUUCUAGCGGAUAUAUUACAAAUUAUCACGAGAGAGUCUAUCGAGGUACAGCUAUUUUGGUGAUUCCAAGGGUCGCGCAGACGAUUAGUGACAGCUGAUAAUCGGAUAUCUCGAAUUUUCCCGCCAAAGCUUGUGGGCUGUUACACAGAAAGGUAUGUGAAAUUUAUACGGUACAGAAAAUGAAUAUAUUUCUUUUGAAUUUUAUCCGAUGACAUUUUUUUUUCAUUUCUCAUUCUUUAUUGGGUUUAGUAUUCAAAUUCAGUCGAAAUAUGCACUUCAGUAACGAGAAACUAUUCUUGAGAUUGCACCAAACGCAAUCUGAAAUUAGAUCCUACACAUUUUUUUGCCAUAGAUGGCCGUUUUUGCGUGGAAACCUCUAUCUCCGAGCUCUUUGCAGUGUAUAAAAUGAGUGAUUAAAUAGAUAAGAACACUCUUAACAUGCUACUCGUUGCACUCU